AUUGAACGCUGGCGGCAGGCCUAACACAUGCGAGUCGAGCGGAUGAAGGGAGCUUGCUCCUGGAUUCAGCGGCGGACGGGUGAGUAAUGCCUAGGAAUCUGCCUGGUAGUGGGGGAUAACGUCCGGAAACGGGCGCUAAUACCGCAUACGUCCUGAGGGAGAAAGUGGGGGAUCUUCGGACCUCACGCUAUCAGAUGAGCCUAGGUCGGUUUAGCUAGUUGGUGGGGUAAAGGCCUACCAAGGCGACGAUCCGUAACUGGUCUGAGAGGAUGAUCAGUCACACUGGAACUGAGACACGGUCCAGACUCCUACGGGAGGCAGCAGUGGGGAAUAUUGGACAAUGGGCGAAAGCCUGAUCCAGCCAUGCCGCGUGUGUGAAGAAGGUCUUCGGAUUGUAAAGCACUUUAAGUUGGGAGGAAGGGCAGUAAGUUAAUACCUUGCUGUUUUGACGUUACCAACAGAAUAAGCACCGGCUAACUUCGUG
rnacentral:rRNA from 1 species